CACUCGCUUCUGGGGAAGCAUAGAGAGUAGGAGGCCGCCGAGGAUCGCGAGCACGGCGGCCGCUGCGAGGAGGUACAAGGCGGAAGAGGGCGGCAGGGAUAGGGGCAGGCGCGUCAGAUCCAGGUUGUGCGGAGGCCGGGGCAGCUGCGGUUGCCUGCGCGUAUCGGGUCAGGCCAAGGUGAGGCGGGAAGCGCGAGGGAGAGAUGGCGUCGGGCGGAUUCAGGGGGAGGAGAUCUCACCUUGGAACCAGCGGCGUUGGAGGCUCCUGUGGUGUCUUCCGUCGAAGAGACAUCGUUCACAUUUGAGUUCAAGCGGGGGUUCAAAAGGGCAAAGAAAGCAAUGCCGCUGCCGGUGGAUGCAGCACUGCUGUCCACAAAUGCACUCCGACGCCGUUAAAUAUGUCUGAUUAGUGAACUGCCUGCUGAAAGCCUUGUCCGUGCUCUCUUCCUUUGUUUUGCAGGGCUUCUCCAGCAAUUCAAACGCUGUCAGGGUGAAGAAAGACGCACCGAAGCAGGUGAUAACUGAAGGGAGCCUUAUCUACUUCUUGUAGGGAGAACUAAGGGCUGAAAUGAAGACUGUUGGUGAUCCUGGUUUGCCUGUUCAACAUCAUCAACUUGGGAGAAAUAAGGACUGAAAACACUUGAAGUGGGCUGAAGCGAUAGAGGAAUAGCAGCAGGCUGAAAUGGCUUAAUUAUCUGAGGCCAAAUAUUAAGAAGCGUGGUGACAUGGCUGAAACUUGUUUCAUGGCUAGAACAUUUUGUAUUCAUGUUUUUGUUGUGCUUUUGUAUGGAAACAUAGCUGGAACAUGUAUGUGCUAGAAUAUUAUUUAUGGUUGGAAAUAAUAUUUAUAUAUCGUUUGGGAUGGUUAUCAUAAUUGUACAAGUGCUUAUGUGGUUCAUAAUCUAUGAUUUUUUAGUUGAGCUGGCUCA